rnacentral:rRNA from 1 species
UACGUAGGGUGCAAGCGUUAAUCGGAAUUACUGGGCGUAAAGCGUGCGCAGGCGGUUCGUUAAGACAGAUGUGAAAUCCCCGGGCUUAACCUGGGAACUGCAUUUGUGACUGGCGGACUGGAGUAUGGCAGAGGGGGGUAGAAUUCCACGUGUAGCAGUGAAAUGCGUAGAGAUGUGGAGGAAUACCGAUGGCGAAGGCAGCCCCCUGGGCCAAUACUGACGCUCAUGCACGAAAGCGUGGGGAAGCAAACGAGG